rnacentral:rRNA from 1 species
CACUCCUACGGGAGGCAGCAGUGGGGAAUAUUGCACAAUGGGCGCAAGCCUGAUGCAGCCAUGCCGCGUGUAUGAAGAAGGCCUUCGGGUUGUAAAGUACUUUCAGCGGGGAGGAAGGCGAUAAGGUUAAUAACCUUGUCGAUUGACGUUACCCGCAGAAGAAGCACCGGCUAACUCCGUGCCAGCAGCCGCGGUAAUACGGAGGGUGCAAGCGUUAAUCGGAAUUACUGGGCGUAAAGCGCACGCAGGCGGUCUGUCAAGUCGGAUGUGAAAUCCCCGGGCUCAACCUGGGAACUGCAUUCGAAACUGGCAGGCUAGAGUCUUGUAGAGGGGGGUAGAAUUCCAGGUGUAGCGGUGAAAUGCGUAGAGAUCUGGAGGAAUACCGGUGGCGAAGGCGGCCCCCUGGACAAAGACUGACGCUCAGGUGCGAAAGCGUGGGGAGCAAACAGGAUUAGAAACCCCAGUAGUCCCAU